GUUAGAUGUAGUGGUCACUCUGAGGGGGUCUCUUCCUCUCUGAGGAGAGAUAGGGCUGAUAAGAAAUCAGAAGAAGCUACUUUUGUAACUACUGAUAUUAUAAGGUUGACUGGAAGUGUAAAAUUUGAAGUAUAUGACAAGGAAGAUUUGAUUCUUUCUGGGAUUCUAGAGAUGGCAAAUUGUAAUGGUUUAUUAGGGGAAUCAAAAGGCAAUGCAAAGAAGUGGAACAUGAGUUGCAUGUCGAAGUUGGGUGUUGGUUUCUUGAAGGGAAAGCAUUUGACUGGAGCUGAAACCACUUCCCCGAUAAUCGAUGUCUAUGUAGCUGGUAGCUUCUCCGGAAAUCCUAUCAUCUUGACCAGAACUUUGCAUCUAAGCUCCCGAAAGAAGCAAAGUUGGAAAUCCAUGUUGGAUGUGAUACCAGAAUCCGAGACACCUGAAUCUAAUGAAGAUCAAUUUCCAGAAUAUGAUUUACAGGGCACAGAAUAUGCAAGAUACAAACAGGACAUUGACAACAGUGAGGACGACUACUACAAUAACAUGUACUGGAAGAGGAGAGAAUAUUUAGACAAUGAAGAUGGUGAACUCUCCUGGUUUAAUGCAGGUGUGAGAGUUGGUGUUGGUAUAGGGCUUGGUGUUUGUUUAGGAAUUGGUGUGGGAGUCGGCUUGCUCGUCCGUACCUACCGAGCGACUACUCGAAAUUUCACAAGGCGGUUCGUUUAACAAAGCCAACAGUCAUUGAAGUCUGGUUUUUCUUUUUUGUAGAAAUACUUGUGUAGCUGAAAUUUUGAUUGUGUAAAACUUGGAUGUUUAAAGAGAGUGAUGGAGCAUUACUUGUUUGUCCUUUGAGAGGAACAAUGAGAUGAUCGAUCAUUUUAAGCUUUGUUAAUCUUUGUCCGCAUGUAUAGUAGCGUGAUUCUGUUGUAU
rnacentral:misc_RNA from 1 species